CCUAACUAAUUAAACCUAAAGAUAUCUUCUUCCCCCUCUUUGACGAGUUCUCCGGUGCUGAGGAGUUCUCCGGCGAGAUCGUGGUGAGUUUUACGGCGCGAGAUUCGACGAUGAUGACGAGCUUAAACGAACAAGACAAUCUCUAUGACAAACGCUAACGAAGUCACCGGGUAAUCGAUGGUGAUCGUUAUCACUCUCUUCGCCAGACUCCAUCACUUUCUAUUAUCCAGGUAGGCAUACUCUCUUUACGGGUAAUCGUUGCCCAGUCAGCAGCAAAAUGAUCUCUCUAUCUAUGUAUCUCUGUAUUAUCUCUAAACCUAUAGAUGUUUAUGAACCCUAAUCUUAUCUACGUGUCAGAGUUCGUGGAUUCUCCUUGAUUCCUCUCCUCUUUCGAUCUGAUUCCAACGCAAUUGGAGCUCACAACGUUUCACUAUCUCACAAGGUUCUCUGGUGGGAACCGAACGGAUGGGUGUGAUGUUUAUGAUAUCGAGGACUGGUAGAAAGUUCCGGCCGAAGGUUUCGACUGAAUCUGCUUCUUCUCCAGACUCUCCAGAAUAGCUGAAUCCGAAAAUCAAUCGUUCCGCCAGCUAAAUCAAAAGGCCAUUGUUGGUGAUGCUGCUUCUGGGUUCUCGGAGUCGUCUUUGUUUCAUGUGUCUCCAGAUCAUGAAGUUUCCUUUGUAUUGAGUCUCUAUCCGAAUGGGUACUCCAUUGGCAAACCCUCUGAGGCUGUGCAGCAGACAUCGUUUAGAGAUGCUCCAAAGGUCUUGCAUCCGUAUGAUAGAGCAGCAGAGGGUCUACUUUCGGUAAAUAUUUGUUCUUUUUAUAUACUCCCUCUGUUUUUUAAA